GUGAGCUGCAGGGCGGCUGCGGCGGUAUGACGUAGGGUGCUCGCGGUGGCCGUAGAGCUUGGGCGGAAAGGUGGGGUAGGCGGACCGGUAAGUCCGGUGGGAAAGGCGGGGGCUAAACCCUCGAAAGCCGGUGGAUACUGUCGGGCGAGAGUACGGAAGAGGCGAGUGGAAUUCCUGGUGGAGCGGUGAAAUGCGCAGAUAUCAGGAGGAACACCGAUUGCGAAGGCAGCUCGCUGGGACGUUACUGACGCUGAGACGCGAAAGCGUGGGGAGCAAACAGGAUUAGAUACCCCAGUAGUC
rnacentral:rRNA from 1 species